GAUGAACGCUGGCGGCGUGCCUAAUACAUGCAAGUCGAGCGAACGGAUGAGAAGCUUGCUUCUCUGAUGUUAGCGGCGGACGGGUGAGUAACACGUGGAUAACCUACCUAUAAGACUGGGAUAACUUCGGGAAACCGGAGCUAAUACCGGAUAAUAUUUUGAACCGCAUGGUUCAAAAGUGAAAGACGGUCUUGCUGUCACUUAUAGAUGGAUCCGCGCUGCAUUAGCUAGUUGGUAAGGUAACGGCUUACCAAGGCAACGAUGCAUAGCCGACCUGAGAGGGUGAUCGGCCACACUGGAACUGAGACACGGUCCAGACUCCUACGGGAGGCAGCAGUAGGGAAUCUUCCGCAAUGGGCGAAAGCCUGACGGAGCAACGCCGCGUGAGUGAUGAAGGUCUUCGGAUCGUAAAACUCUGUUAUUAGGGAAGAACAAAUGUGUAAGUAACUAUGCACAUCUUGACGGUACCUAAUCAGAAAGCCACGGCUAACUACGUG
rnacentral:rRNA from 1 species